rfam:Peptostreptococcaceae bacterium CCRI-22567 contig-1, whole genome shotgun sequence.
ACCUUAUCAGGAGAGGUGGAGGGAAAGGCCCUACGAAACCCGGCAACCGACUUUGUAAAAAGCAAAGCACGGUGCUAAUUCCUACAAGUAACUGCUUGAGAGAUGAGGA